CUGCUAUGUAGGUUGAAGGCCGUUUUAUUACUGUCUUCAUUUUUAUCAUUAUUAAAUC
rfam:Oryctolagus cuniculus unplaced genomic scaffold chrTn0007, whole genome shotgun sequence.